CUUGACAUGAAGCGUAUAUUUGAGCCCAAGUGCUUGGACGCCUUCCUAAACUUGAAGGACUUCAUCUCCCGCUUUGAGGGUUUGAAGAAGAUCUCUGCCUACAUGAAGUCCAGCCAAUUCCUCCGAGGUCUUUUGUUUGGAAAGUCAGCUACAUGGAACAGCAAAUAGGGCCCAGUGAUGCCAGAAGAUGGGAGGGAGGAGCCAACCUUGCUGCCUGCGACCCUGGAGGACAGCCUGACUCCCUGGACCUGCCUUCUUCCUUUUUCCUUCUUUCUACUCUCUUCUCUUCCCCAAGGCCUCAUUGGCUUCCUUUCUUCUAACAUCAUCCCUCCCCGCAUCGAGGCUCUUUAAAGCUUCAGCUCCCCACUGUCCUCCAUCAAAGUCCCCCUCCUAACGUCUUCCUUUCCCUGCACUAACGCCAACCUGACUGCUUUUCCUGUCAGUGCUUUUCUCUUCUUUGAGAAGCCAGACUGAUCUCUGAGCUCCCUAGCACUGUCCUCAAAGACCAUCUGUAUGCCCUGCUCCCUUUGCUGGGUCCCUACCCCAGCUCCGUGUGAUGCCCAGUAAAGCCUGAACCAUGCCUGC
rnacentral:lncRNA from 10 species